CUCUUUUAGUGGAGAAAACAGUUACUAUGGUGAUGCUUUGUAUAAAGCCUUCAUGGGGCAGCUUCCCAAUGCUCUCAAGUGGGUAGGGAGGGAGGCUAGGGCAGAACAGUUCAAACUGGCAGUGUGAGUGAGCUUAGAUGCCCCAUUCCUCUGUCCUCCACAAGGCGAUGGGCAGGACAUCCAGGCCUUGCUAUGACUUCAUAAAGAGCA
rnacentral:lncRNA from 1 species